UCUUUUAAAGGGAAACAGUCCCCCAUUGGCUUUAGGCGCCAAUUCUCCUGGUGCAAAUCCAAGUAAAAGAA
rnacentral:tRNA from 1 species